rnacentral:rRNA from 1 species
CGCGUAGGCGGAUUUGCAAGUCGGGGGUGAAAGUCCGAGGCUCAACCUCGGAACUGCCUUCGAUAUUGCAAAUCUCGAGUCCGAGAGAGGUGAGUGGAAUUCCUAGUGUAGAGGUGAAAUUCGUAGAUAUUAGGAAGAACACCAGUGGCGAAGGCGGCUCACUGGCUCGGUACUGACGCUGAGGCGUGAAAGCGUGGGGAGCAAACA